rnacentral:rRNA from 1 species
AUUGAACGCUGGCGGCAGGCCUAACACAUGCAAGUCGAGCGAGCGGCGGACGGGUGAGUAAUGUCUGGGAAACUGCCUGAUGGAGGGCGAUAACAACUGGAAACGGUAGCUAAUACCGCAUACAAUCAGAUAUGCCCAGAUGGGAUUAGCUAGUAGGUGGGGUAAUGGCUCACCUAGGCGACGAUCCCUAGCUGGUCUGAGAGGAUGACCAGCCACACUGGAACUGAGACACGGUCCAGACUCCGACGGGAGGCAGCAGGGGGGAAUAUUGCACAAUGGGCGCAAGCCUGAUGCAGCCAUGCCGCGUGUGUGAAGAAGGCCUUCGGGUUGUAAAGCACUUUCAGCGAGGAGGCGUUACUCGCAGAAGAAGCACCGGCUAACUCCGUGCCAGCAGCCGCGGUAAUAC